UACGAAGGGUGCAAGCGUUGCUCGGAAUUACUGGGCGUAAAGGGUCCGUAGGUGGCCCAGCAAGUUGGGUGUGAAAGCCCCGAGCUCAACUCGGGAAAUGCACUCAAAACUGCUGAGCUUGAGUCCGGGAGAGGGAAGUGGAAUUCCCAGUGUAGAGGUGAAAUUCGUAGAGAUUGGGAGGAACAUCAGUGGCGAAAGCGACUUCCUGGACCGGUACUGACACUGAGGGACGAAAGCGUGGGGAGCAAAC
rnacentral:rRNA from 1 species